UCAAGAGAGAGAGAGCGAGAGAGAGCGAGAGAGAGAAUCACCCCGAUGAUUUCUAUUCUCAGACAAAGCGGUUUUUGUUUCCAAGAAGCCAAAAUUGUUUAGAAUUUGCUUCCCAUUUUGCACCAGCCUUUAAACACUUUUCGUGAAGAAAUUUUGCACAGUAGUUUAAAUCUUCUGUUCAUGCUCCUCCAGAUUUUGUCAGUGGAGGAGAUCCCAUUGAUCCCAAAGGGAACUCCAGCUGCAGGACAUGUCCAGAGAGGAAGGAAAAUCCUCAUUGUAAUCACUUCCAACAUUCAUUGUUUGACCAUUUCUGUGUAUUAUCUUUGGAUCUCUAUAUAGUGUGUGUCACAAAAAAAAAGAAAGAAAUGAAAGAAAGAAAGAAAGCAGAAGAGGAAAAAGAAGAAAGGAGAGAAGAAGGAAGGGAAGAAGGAAAGAGAGAAGGAGGGAGAAGAGGAAGAUGAAAAGUGACAGAGGUGCAAAGAAGAAAAAUCUAGCAUUUUAGAACUGAAGUUUGUUCUCAAAAGGCAUUAGAUUACACAAGCAGUCCUAUAUCCGGGAAUUUGAUCUUUUGAUGUUCCUCUCUCAGAAGGUCCUGUCAGUUAUUCCUGAAGGUGAAAUAUGACUCCUGGAGGAAAGACUUACCAGAUCAUCACCUUAUCAUAAUAAGGAACUAGAGAACGAGGAAAUACUGGUUUACAUUUUAUAGAAGGAGUUUCAGAAGGAUGAGUUGAUAACUUGCUUGAGGUUACUUGGUAAAAAUGGAGGGAACCAGAAGGCAGAGAAUCUCUCUUGUUCUAAAAGCUCAGCUGACACUCCCCAC
rnacentral:lncRNA from 1 species